GACGAACGCUGGCGGCGUGCUUAACACAUGCAAGUCGAACGGAAAGGCCCUGCUUUUGUGGGGUGCUCGAGUGGCGAACGGGUGAGUAACACGUGAGUAACCUGCCCUUGACUUUGGGAUAACUUCAGGAAACUGGGGCUAAUACCGGAUAGGAGCUCCUGCUGCAUGGUGGGGGUUGGAAAGUUUCGGCGGUUGGGGAUGGACUCGCGGCUUAUCAGUUUGUUGGUGGGGUAGUGGCUUACCAAGGCUUUGACGGGUAGCCGGCCUGAGAGGGUGACCGGCCACAUUGGGACUGAGAUACGGCCCAGACUCUUACGGGAGGCAGCAGUGGGGAAUAUUGCACAAUGGGCGGAAGCCUGAUGCAGCAACGCCGCGUGCGGGAUGACGGCCUUCGGGUUGUAAACCGCUUUCGCCUGUGACGAAGCGUGAGUGACGGUAAUGGGUAAAGAAGCACCGGCUAACUACGUG
rnacentral:rRNA from 1 species